rnacentral:lncRNA from 1 species
ACUUCCAGGUAUGGCUGAGAAGGGUGAAAAUGCAUGCACCCACAGACACACACACACACCGUGGAAAUGAGGAAAAGUUACUUCUCUCUGUUGUAAAUUUAAAUGCAGUCCAGAGUAGUGAAGGCCGUUUGUAAGGUCUGCUGAGCUAAUGGAUUCAUAAUGACUUUUAAAGCUUCACUCGGCUGCACUGGGGGAGAGCCUGCUGAAGCUGCUUGAAUCUCAACACUGUCAUACCCGCCAUCUCAUUAUCUACAGCCACAUCUAAAACCCACAUGAAAUACCAAGUCACACGCGGCUCUGGGAAAGACAUUUUACAGAGACCAUCUUAUGAGUUUUUAAUCUGCCUCCUGAGAACUUACAAUCUAAGAAAUAGAAAACUGAUUCCAGUAAGCAUGCCCAGAAUAUGCUAGCAGCAAGAUUAAAACAUGAAACUAUG